AUUUGAGGUAAGAUUGGGUGAGGACACACAGACAAACUAUAACAGGCUUCCAUAACAAAUAAUCAUAAACUUGAUGGCAUAAAACAACAGAAAUCUAUUCUCUCACAGUUCCAGAGGCCAGAAGUCUGAAUUUAAGGUGUUGACUAUUGAUUACUUGUGGAGGAUAUGAGGGGGAAGCCAUUCUAUGCCUCUCUCCUAGCUUCUGGUGGCUGCCAGCAUUCCUCAGUUUUCAUUGGCUUGUUGACACAUCACUCCAUUUCCUGUAUCCAUCUUUAUAAGGUCUUUAUGAUGUUCUCUUUGUUUCAAUUAUCUGCCUAUCUCUUAUAGUAAUACCCAUCAUUAGAUUUAGGGUCCACCUUAAAUCUGGGGUAAUCUCAUCUCAAAAUACAUUUGCAAAUAGCAUUUUUCCAAAUAAAUCACAUUUACAGGUUGUGGGGGUUGGAAUUUGGACAUGAAUUUGAGGGACCACUAUUCAAUCUACUAUAGUAUCAAAGGGUUUUACUGGGAGCUGAUCACAAAGGCACCCUCUGCCUUAGAAUGUACUAAAAUUCCAAACUCUGAGAGAAAAAGCGUGGGUGUUCAGUAUAAAUUAUGCUGUUUAUAUAAAUAGUCUAGGCACAGGGAGCCUCCCUUAUUAGUCAGGGAAUUGUUUGAGUGUCAAGUCACAGAUGCCAGCUAACGACCAAUCUUGCCAGUAGGCCUUUCUAAAAAUAGAAGCCUCAGGCCUGUCAUAUUAGCUUGUUUCUCUUUACCCUUACCCAGGGCAUUUCUACAGCAAAAUUAUUAUAAGGACUCCACAGUGCAGUGACCGACCUGCAGUAUUAGCUUCAGUCAUGUCCUCCAGGGGUUCUCAAUUCACUAGUUAACCAUAAUCCUGUUAAAUAUAAACAUCUGUAUUAGAAAGCCUAGUGGCUUCCACAAGAGAUGUGUCCUCCCUCAACUUUCAGCUUUUGGCAGGAACCACAAGUUAUGAGUGCAAUUAGUGCCAGUAUUAUAGAGCCAGCUAGCAGCUCAGUUUAAGCUAUUUUCAUUAGAGAAUAAACCGUUUUCCAUGGCCAUCUGUAUGUAACCCCUGUAGGCCAUCCAGCAUACAUGAUGUUUUUACAGUUUUUUGCCCCACUGAAGGGUGCUCUAAAUCUUCAACCAUCCCAGAAUUUAAGUCCUGCUCAUUGAGCAGAGAGAUGUCAUCUGAGUUCAGUUUGACACAGUGAGUGCUAAAGUUGAAACAGCCCAGACACAGCAUAUAGUAUCAGGUUUCACUUUAGAGUUGGAACCAGACAAGUAGAAUCUUGAAUUCAUGAUUCCCCAAAUGUCAGUAACUUUUCUUCUAUAGUAGGAAGACCCUGCAGGGUCAUAAAUCUGCAUACAAAGUCCUAAGAUCCUUUUUUAAAAACUGAUUUGAGUCCAAAUUGACCCACUCUAUGCAUAUUAGGCUGGAAAAUCAUCAGCCAUUUCAUUUCAACAACAGCUCAUUAGCAAACUAAAACAGCUUUCAAAACUACAAAAGUAUAUUUCCAUCUGGAGAUUGCCUUUGUUUUCAUUUUUUCUUGCUUUUUUCAGAGGCUCCAAUGGGCAAAACCAUAGCAAAAAUCAUCAGUUAUGGAGAUUUGUUCUGUUUCUGAUACUCAAAGUAUUUAAAUUUCAAUUUACCUACCCGUGCAUGGCAAAAAGCUAGGGAUCUGUGCACCAUGAAUAUUUUUUCUUUGCAGCUUUCCCUGAUCAGAAUAAUCACCCUAUAACUUUUAUGAAAUUAUGGGCAGAAGAUAUUUUUUAAACCAAUUGUAUAUAGAUGAAAUAGCCACAAAAUACAAGGCCAUUAAAAAAAAUCUUUUUUUUUUAAAUGGCAAAGUUUACUCCCAGCCCUUUCAGUGAAUUCAGCAUUUAUAGAGGAAAAAUCAGUGACUAGGAGAUUCCAGCUGAAACACAAGAUGUUGGGGUACUGCAGUUUCGGCUUGAGAAAGGGCUUCAGUGUUUCUCUCUCUCUUUUUUUUUUUUUGAGGAGAGAGCAACUAAGUUAAUUUUUAUUGUUGUUGACCCAUUCAGAGCUCAUCUGAGGGACUACUUGGGCCUUUUUAACUUUCCCUUGUAAGAGAGCACAAAAAAAGUCACAGUGGGGACUUCUCUAUUUUCUUCCUUUUAGUUAGCAUGGACAAAAGAAGCCAGUGGAUCCAAUGAGCCAACUCUCCUGGGCUUGAAUCUAUCAUUUUCAAAUCCAUAGGUAACUUUUAGCUCUCACAAAAGAUAGCAUCUCAGCUGCUCUUUUGUCCCGUGGGCAAUGACAUAAUCACCUAAGUACCAAGACUCCUUCAUUUUCUGCCCUUUUCUCCAAAACCACACUGUAGCCAUAUUCCAGUUGGAGUUGUUCUGAUAAAUCCCAUAGCCACUACAGUUUUAAUGACCCUCAAGGUCACACACAUUCGGAGGUUCUUUAGUGGCACUUAUGCAACUCAGCAUGUAGUUGGGACUCAUGGCUCAGGUUUGUUAUAGUGAAAAUAUGACAGGAUCAUCAUGGGAAAAAGACACAAGUGGAUUCUGGAGAAAUGCAUGCACAGACUUCCUCAUACUCUUUUCCUCCAAUAAGGAAACACACCAAAUGAGUGGGUGUUCAUUUUUUUUCCAGCAGCAAAAACUACAAAUAUGCAUAUAAUAUUUCUGUCCAGGGGAGCCUAGAGGAUCAGAGUUCAAAACUUUUUUAGAAGGUGGAUGAUAAGAAACUUCUGGGAGUUGAAGGAACUUGUUCUAACCCAAUGCAAAGAAACUAAGAACUUUGAAAAAGGGUUUGAUGAAAUGCUAACAAGAAUAGAUAACAUAGAGAGGAAUAUAAGUGAAUUAACGGAGUUGAAAAAUACAACAUGAGAACUUCGUGAAGUAUACACAAGUUUUAACAGCCGAAUUGAUCAAGCAGAAGAAAGGAUAUCAGAGGUUGAAGACCAACUUAAUGAAAUAAAACAAGAAGAUAAGAAUAGAGUAAAAAGGAUAAAAAGGAAUGAGCAAAGUCUCCAAGAAAUAUGGGACUAUGUGAAAAGACCUAAUCUACGUUUGAUAGGUGUACGUGAAUGCGACGAAGAGAAUGAAUCCAAGCUGGAAAAUACUCUUCAGGAUAUUAUCCAGGAAAACUUUCCCAACCUAGCAAGGAAGGACAAUAUUCCACUCCAGGUAAUACAGAGAACACCACAAAGAUAUUCCUCAAGAAGAGCAACCCCAAGGCACAUAAUCGUUAGAUUCACCAGGGUUGAAAUGAAAGAGAAAAUACUAAGGGCAGCCAGAGAGAAAGGUCAGGUUACCCACAAAGGGAAGCCUAUCAGACUCACAGCAGAUCUCUCAGCAGAAACCCUACAAGCCAGAAGAGAGUGGGGGCCAAUAUUCAACAUCCUUAAAGAAAAGAACUUUCAAGCCAGAAUUUCACAUCCAGCCAAACUAAGCUUUACAGUCGAAGGAAAAAUAAAAUCUUUUGUGAAUAAGCAGGUACUCAGAGAUUUCAUUACCACCAGGCCUGCUUUACAAGAGCUUCUGAAAGAAGCAUUACACAUAGACAGGAACAACCAGUAUUAGCCUUUCUAAAAAUAUACCAAAAAGUAAAGAGUAUCAACAUAAUGAAAAAUUUAUAUCAACUCAUGUGCAAAAUAGCCAGCUAACAUCAAAUGGUAAUAAUCUUAAAUUUAAAUUGACUAAAUCCCCCAGUCAAAAGAUUCAGCCAAAACCCAUCGGUAUGCUGCAUCCAGACCCAUCUUACAUCCAAGGAUACAUGAAGAGUCAAAACAAAGGGAUGGAGAAAGGUUUGUCAACCAAAUGGAGAACAAAAAUAAGUAAAUAAAAAGUAGAGGUUGCAAUUCUCAUCUCUGAUGGAAUGGAUUUUAAAGCAACAAAGAUCAAAAGAGGACAUAAUGGUAAAAGGAUCCAUGCAACAAGAAGAGCUGAUGAUCCUGGAUGUGUAGGCACCCAAUAUAGGAUACAUAAGACUUGUAAAGAGACUUGGACUCCCACAUAGUAAUAGUGGGAGAUUUCAACAUCAAUAUUAGAUAGAUCAAUGAGACAGAAAAUUAACAAGGAUAUCCUGGACUUGAACUCAGAUCCGGAACAAGUAAACUUAAUAAACAUUUAUAGAACUCUCCACUUUAAACACACAAGAUGUGCACUCUUAUCAGUACCACAUCACACCUACUCACAGGUUAAGACGAAAUAUUGGUUGGCCAUUAUUAAGCACAAUUGGUGGUAUAAGGGAGGUUUUCAAUACCCACUUUUAGACUGCAUUCUAGCCUGGGCAAUUAAGCAACACUCCUGUUCUCUCUCCCUCCUCCUCUUCCUCUUUUUUCCUCCUCUUCUUCAUUCCUUUUUCUUUCUUUCGUUCUCUCUUAAAAAAAAAAAACUUUUUUAGGAGGGCUGAUCCUGAAGGCACCUUCUGCUUAUCACAUACCCAAAUUCCAGACUCCCAGAAGGAAACAGACAUUAACCAGAAAUCACACUGUUUGGACAAACAGCCCAGGUGUGGGUAGCUGCCCUUAUUGUUAGGACAUGACCUGAGUCCCAGAGCUAGCAUCCCAGAUGCCAGCCAAGGGCCAAACUUGCAAGUAGGCCCUUCUAAGUCGGCAGCCUCAAAUCUGCUAUGUUAACUCUUCUUCACACAAUUGCUAAGCCAGGAAGUGGAUUGGCCCAGAUCAUACCUAGGAGGUUGUAUUUGCCUCAUCUUGCCUUAUCCUUCUUGGUUAUGAAACUGGGUUAUAGAACAUAGCCCAACUCAGCACAGUAUGGCUUUUUAAAGCCUCUUGUCAUUGCAACGGAGUCCUACCAUAGCUGUUCAUUUCAUGAGAGACCAGCUCAGGUCCCUUGUGGAGGAUGAAGGAGUGGGGGUUUUCUUUGAACUCCUGUCUGCCUCUGAGAGACAGCAGACCCUGAGCCCAGAUGAUCCGUAGUUUCAGCCCCACUUACUACUUGUGUUCUAGUUUAUUUUCUCCUCAACAAAGAUAUGACUAUGUAAUGUAUUUUCAAUUUUCUUUUUAAAAAUGUUAUUUAUCAUUGCUAUUUGUUUGGAACAACGUAUGGUGGGGAAAGGAGGCUUAGACUGCAAACUUAUAAUGCCAUCUUAGUCAGAAGGGGCUCUUUCACUUUUUUACACAUCACUGCAACUUUUUCCAGGAUCCAGGGCUGAGCCGGUGGGGCUUGUCUGGCCUGGAGGAUAACUUUAGUGAUACGGUGCUUUAUUCAACAUUGCUUUUCAGCUGUGUUUCUGUCCUAUUGUCCUUGUGUCUCUUGACUCUCUUCCUUUAGGACUAAUUAUGGCUCAUGUGACUCAUUAGUGGGCCUGCCUUGCACUGUUGUUUCUGAGGGGGAACCUCGGCUUAGGUGCUCAAGCCAAGAUUCCUCUACUACUCAAGGAUUUUGGUUGAAACAUAUGACACAGAAUGAAACAACAAAAUCAGAGUUUGGGCAGCCUACCAUUUUCCAAAAGCCUACCUAUUCACUGUGGGGAAAGGCAAGUAGCUAACCUAUAAGGCAACUCCUAUAUCCCAUGACCUAUGCAUUAUAUUUCUUUAAUGAAAGAAUUUUUACUUUUUACCAUUUCGACAGACUACAUUGCUUCAUAUUAUUGUUACGAAUCCAUGUUUCUCAUUUUUGUUUUUGUUUUCAUUUUUGGUUAAGAAAGGCUGCAAAGCAAGGUGUAUGGGAGCAGCUUGUGUUUAAACUCCAAUUCAAGUUCGGGGUGAAAAUUAUUUCCUGUGUGUAUAUCUUCAGAAACAUGCUUCAGUCUGACAAGAUGAUUUUGAACUUUGGUUCUGGCAUCUUUGUGUCAUCUGAAAUUCUGCCAGGUUUGCCAGUCUUAGGUGUCAAAUUGAUUUGAAAUUGCUAGCAUAUGUAAAUAACACAACUAAAUCCAUGCGAUUUGCCUCAAAUAUUUUCUUUAAAAUAUAGAAAUAUCAUUGGUGAUCCUUGGUCUUAUAUUCUGUUUAAAACGUAUCUUAAAAGUUUGAAAUCUUAAAAAGAAGUGGUUCCUGCCACUUCUUUGUGUUUUAACCAUAGCUCCAUUCACUUUCAGGGCAUGAGCACACCUCUGACUUUUUAGAUGCACAAACAUUAUAAUAUUCAAAAUUAUGAAUAUGUAUUUUUCAAUAGUACUAAUCCAUGAAAAAUGGGAUUAUAAUAUGCUGUUUAUUUAAUCCUCCAAAAGUGAGUAAAAUUUGUCUAGUCCAGACUUUUGCUGGGAGUUGGCUGUAAGAAUUAGGUUUACUAAAAACACAAGGUGGUAAUAGAAAUUACCCUCUUAAGCUAAAAUAGACAAAUGGCAUCUAAUUAAACUAAAGAUCUUCUGCACAGCGAAAGAAAAUAUCAUCAGAGUGAACAGGCAACCUAUAGAAUGAGAGAAAAUUUUUGCACUCUACCCAUCUGACAAAGGUCUAAUAUACAGAAUCUAUAAGGAAUGUAAACAAAUUUACAAGAAAAAAACAACCCCGGCCUCCCUCCCUCCUGGCCUUCCCUUCCCCCACUUCGCAGACCUCUCUUCCCACAGUGCCUCCCUCCUUCUCCUCUCCACCCCCUCCGGGCUCCCGCUCUCCCUGAAGGCUACGACUGUGAGUGGAGCCACUGGCCCCACCGGGAUCCCCGCGCCUUCUGCCGCCGUGUCCACGUCCUCCUGGUGCCCCUGCCCGGUGCCGCGAGCCUACUCCGGGCUUGGCCUGACUCCGCACGGUGCAGCGCAGGCCGCGGGACAAGCCCGACUUAAAUCUUUGCAAUGGCUGACGAAGCUUAUCCUUGUCCCUGUGACAUUGGCCACAGACUUGAGUAUGGAGGGAUGGGCCAUGAAGUUCAAGUCGAGCACAUCAAGGCAUAUGUCACCAAAUCCCCUGUUGAUGGAGGCAAAGCUGUUAUUGUCAUUCAAGAUAUAUUUGGCUGGCAGUCGCCUAAUAUCAGAUAUAUGGCUGACAUGAUCUCAGGAAAUGGUUACACAACCAUUGUUCCAGACUUCUUUGUAGGGCAAGAGCCUUGGGACCCCUCUGAUGACUGGUCCAUCUUCCCUGAGUGGCUGAAAAUGAGAAAUGCCUGGAAGAUCAUUAGAGAAAUCGAUGCUGUUUUGAAGUAUCUGAAACAAUGUCAUGCCCAGAAAAUUGGCGUGUGGGUUCUGCUGGGGUGGAACUGCUGUCCAUCACUUGAUGAUGAAAUACUCAGAAUUCAGGACAGGGUUUCUGUCUACGGCAUCCUCAAGGAUUCUGAAGACAUUUACAAUUUAAAGAACACCACCUUGUUCAUUUUUGCUGAAAAUGAUGCUGUGAUUCCACUCAAGAACGUAUCAUUGCUGACCCAGAAGCUGAAAGAACACUGCAAAGUUGAAUAUCAAAUUAAGACAUUUUCUGGGCAGACUCACGGGUUCGUGCAUCGGAAGAGAGAAGACUGUUCACCUGCAGACAUGCCCUACAUUGACGAGGCCAGAAGGAAUUUAAUCGAGUGGCCGAACAAGUACAUGUAGCAAGAAUCGAGGGCAAGCACUCCCAGAAGAGCUUUCAUCCCAAACUUUGCUUGGAAAUACUUAGAUCAAUCGAUUUAAUUUUCAUCUUUAUAAAAUAAAUGUAGGAAUCCUAAAAUUCAUUAUGUCAUUUGAAACACAAGUUCAUUAGGAAAUAAUGCAUGAAAUAAUUUAAUUUUUAACAUGUACAUCAAAUCAAAAUUUAAAACCAAGGUCUGGCUGGGCGCGGUGGCUCAUGCCUGUAAUCCCAACACUUUGGGAGGCCAAAGCAGGUGGAUUACCUGAGGUUAGGAGUUUGAUACCAGCCUGGCUAACAUACUGAGACUCCCUCAUCUCUACAAAAAAAAAAAAAUGCCAAAAUUAGCCUGGUGUGGUGGUGCACUCCUGUAGUCCCAGCUACUUGGGAGGCUGAGGCACAAGAAUCAAUAGAACACAGGAGGUAGAGACUGCAGUGAGCUGAGAUUGUGCCGCCACCGCACUCCAGCCUGGGCGACAGAGUGACCCUGUCUCAAAAGUAAAUGAAUAAAUAAAAAUGAAAAAUAAAAACCAGGACAGUUACCUGGAGAAUUUGAAUGAUAAAGUAAUACCAUAAUUAUUAGUUAAAACCUACAGGUUGGGUGUGGUGGCUCACGCCUGUAAUCCUAGCAGUUUGGGAGGCUGAGGCGGGUGGAUCACUUGAGGUCAGGAGUUUGAGACCAGCCUGGCCAACAUGGUGAAACCCUGUCUCUACUAAAAGUACAAAAGUUAGCCAAGUGUGGUGGUGUGCACCUGUGGUCCUGACUACUCAGGAGGCUGAGGCAGGGGAAUCACUCAAACCUGGGAGGAGGAGGUUGCAGUGGGUGGAGAUUGUGCCACUGCACUCCAGCCUGGGCAACAGAGGGAGACUGUAUCUCAAACAAGACAAAACAAAAACAUACACAAAACACAAAACCUACAGCUGUUCAAGGACCAGCUGACAGGUCAAGUGUGGGCUUUUCUGGUCUUUGAACACAUCGUAUAAAAUGACAAAUGCUGCAAAGCCAUGAAGAACGUGAACUGUAAACUAGGGUAGGCUAACUGCCCAACCUAGGUGCUUAUCAUGUCAUAAGACAGGUGGAUUUGUCACAUUUAGAGAUUGCAAUAUGGGAAGUAUUGAGAUCAAAACAGGAUUCCAUUGACCUCAUUGUAUUAAACUAAUAAACUAAUUUUUCGGAAAAAAAAAAAAAAAAACAACCCCAUCUAAAAGUGAGCAAAAUAUAUGACUAGAAACUUCUCAAAAGAAGACAUUUAUGUGGCCAACAAACAUAUGAAAAAAAAAAAAAAAAGCUCA